rnacentral:rRNA from 1 species
GACGAACGCUGGCGGCGUGCUUAACACAUGCAAGUCGAGCGGUAAGGCUCCUUCGGGAGUACACGAGCGGCGAACGGGUGAGUAACACGUGAGCAAUCUGCCCUUCACUUUGGGAUAACUUCCGGAAACGGAAGCUAAUACCGAAUACGACCAUCACAGACAUCUGUUGAUGGUGGAAAGUUCCGGCGGUGAAGGAUGAGCUCGCGGCCUAUCAGCUUGUUGGUGAGGUAACGGCCCACCAAGGCGACGACGGGUAGCCGGCCUGAGAGGGUGACCGGCCACACUGGGACUGAGACACGGCCCAGACUCCUACGGGAGGCAGCAGUGGGGAAUAUUGGACAAUGGGCGAAAGCCUGAUCCAGCAACGCCGCGUGAGGGAUGACGGCCU